AUUGAACGCUGGCGGCAUGCCUUACGCAUGCAAGUCGAACGGCAGCAUGAUCUAGCUUGCUAGAUUGAUGGCGAGUGGCGAACGGGUGAGUAAUACAUCGGAACGUGCCCUGUAGUGGGGGAUAACUAGUCGAAAGAUUAGCUAAUACCGCAUACGACCUGAGGGUGAAAGUGGGGGACCGCAAGGCCUCAUGCUAUAGGAGCGGCCGAUGUCUGAUUAGCUAGUUGGUGAGGUAAAGGCUCACCAAGGCGACGAUCAGUAGCUGGUCUGAGAGGACGAUCAGCCACACUGGGACUGAGACACGGCCCAGACUCCUACGGGAGGCAGCAGUGGGGAAUUUUGGACAAUGGGCGAAAGCCUGAUCCAGCAAUGCCGCGUGUGUGAAGAAGGCCUUCGGGUUGUAAAGCACUUUUGUCCGGAAAGAAAUGGCUCUGGUUAAUACCUGGGGUCGAUGGCGGUACCGGAAGAAUAAGGACCGGCUAACUACGUG
rnacentral:rRNA from 1 species